AUUGAACGCUGGCGGCAGGCUUAACACAUGCAAGUCGAGCGGGGAAAAGUAGCUUGCUACUGGACCUAGCGGCGGACGGGUGAGUAAUGCUUAGGAAUCUGCCUAUUAGUGGGGGACAACAUCUCGAAAGGGAUGCUAAUACCGCAUACGUCCUACGGGAGAAAGCAGGGGACCUUCGGGCCUUGCGCUAAUAGAUGAGCCUAAGUCGGAUUAGCUAGUUGGUGGGGUAAAGGCCUACCAAGGCGAAGAUCGGUAGCGGGUCGGAGAGGAUGAUCCAGCAAACUGGGCCGGAGACGCGGCCCAGACUCCUACGGGAGGCAGCAGUGGGGAAUAUUGGACAAGGGGGGGAACCCUGAGCCAGCCAUGCCGCGUGUGUGAAGAAGGCCUUUUUGUUGUAAAGCACUUUAAGCGAGGAGGAGGCUACCGAGAUUAAUACUCUUGGAUAGUGGACGUUACUCGCAGAAUAAGCACCGGCUAACUCUGUGCCAGCCGCCGCGGUAACAC
rnacentral:rRNA from 1 species